GACGAACGCUGGCGGCGUGCCUAAUACAUGCAAGUAGAACGCUGAAGGAGGAGCUUGCUUCUCUGGAUGAGUUGCGAACGGGUGAGUAACGCGUAGGUAACCUGCCUGGUAGCGGGGGAUAACUAUUGGAAACGAUAGCUAAUACCGCAUAACAGUAGAUAUCGCAUGAUAUCUACUUGAAAGGUGCAAUUGCAUCACUACCAGAUGGACCUGCGUUGUAUUAGCUAGUUGGUGAGGUAACGGCUCACCAAGGCGACGAUACAUAGCCGACCUGAGAGGGUGAUCGGCCACACUGGGACUGAGACACGGCCCAGACUCCUACGGGAGGCAGCAGUAGGGGAUCUUCGGCAAUGGACGGAAGUCUGACCGAGCAACGCCGCGUGAGUGAAGAAGGUUUUCGGAUCGUAAAGCUCUGUUGUAAGAGAAGAACGAGUGUGAGAGUGGAAAGUUCACACUGUGACGGUAUCUUACCAGAAAGGGACGGCUAACUACGUG
rnacentral:rRNA from 1 species